ACCAGUGUGGUGUAGUGGUUUAAGCAUUAGACUAGGAUUCUGGAGACCAGGGUUCGAUUCCUCACUCGAC
rnacentral:tRNA from 1 species